rnacentral:rRNA from 1 species
AUACGGAAGGUCCGGGCGUUAUCCGGAUUUAUUGGGUUUAAAGGGAGCGCAGGCGGAGAUGCAAGCGUGACGUCAAAUUUCGGGGCUCAACCCCGUCUCGCGUCGCGAACUGCGUCCCUUGGUUGCGGGAAGGGGAGGCGGAACUCGUGGUGUAGCGGUGAAAUGCAUAGAUAUCACGAAGAACUCCGAUCGCGAAGGCAGCCUCCCGGCCCGUCGACGACGCUCAUGCUCGAAGGUGCGGGUAUCAAACAGGAUUAGAUACCCGGGUAGUCCGCACAGUAAACGAUGGACACCCGCGGUUUGGCCUGUAUGGCUGAGCCGCCAAGCGAAAGCGUUAAGUGUCCCACCUGGGGAGUUCGCCGGCAACGGUGAAACUCAAAUGAAUUGACGGGG